UCACCAGGUCUAGAAACCACAAAAUGGUC
rnacentral:sRNA from 1 species